ACGUUUUUUCAGUAUACAAAAAGCUUCAGAAUGAAUGCCUCAUUUCAAUCGUUCGAAAAAGUGAGAAAGGCUGCAGAGUUGUUUGAAAUGCAUCACAAUUGCAAACUAUCCACUAGAGACAGCUCCAAAAUUAAAGUAGAACAACUUAAUAUAAAGAACAGUAAAUUAAUGUGUAAUUAUAUUUUAUACACAUGUGCCAGAAAUGGUUCAAAAAGAUGUCGCGAAAUUGGAACCUGGGACAUCAAAAAGAAAAUAACUCGCCAACGAGAGUCGAAAAAAAUUGGUUGCCCUGUAAAAAUUAAACUGGAAAGAAAACUCGAUAAAGAGAAACAAAUUGAGGUUUUGCAUGUCACGAAAUUACGGGUAAACACAAUCAUGAACCAAACGAUUUAUCUGAAGACGAGUUCUCAAAUAUGGAAGAAAAUCAACAUAAUUCUAACAAUAUGACUGACUCCAAAUUGCUUGCUCUGCGAAAAGCCUUGCAAAAAAUUGAAACCUUUGCACGAC